CGGCAUGCUUUACACAUGCAAGUCGGACGGCAGCGGGGUAGUGCUUGCACUACUGCCGGCGAGUGGCGAACGGGUGAGUAAUAUAUUGGAACGUACCGAGUAAUGGGGGAUAACCAAUCGAAAGAUUGGCUAAUACCGCAUACGCUCUGAGGAGGAAAGCAGGGGACCUUCGGGCCUUGCGUUAUUCGAGCGGCCAAUAUCUGAUUAGCUAGUUGGUGGGGUAAAGGCCUACCAAGGCGACGAUCAGUAGCGGGUCUGAGAGGAUGAUCCGCCACACUGGGACUGAGACACGGCCCAGACUCCUACGGGAGGCAGCAGUGGGGAAUUUUGGACAAUGGGCGCAAGCCUGAUCCAGCCAUGCCGCGUGUCUGAAGAAGGCCUUCGGGUUGUAAAGGACUUUUGUUAGGGAAGAAAAAGGAGCGGUUAAUACCCGUUUCUGCUGACGGUACCUAAAGAAUAAGCACCG
rnacentral:rRNA from 1 species